rnacentral:rRNA from 1 species
GAUGAACGCUGGCGGCGUGCCUAAUACAUGCAAGUCGAGCGAACAGACGAGGAGCUUGCUCCUCUGACGUUAGCGGCGGACGGGUGAGUAACACGUGGAUAACCUACCUAUAAGACUGGGAUAACUUCGGGAAUCCGGAGCUAAUACCGGAUAAUAUAUUGAACCGCAUGGUUCAAUAGUGAAGGACGGUUUUGCUGUCACUUAUAGAUGGAUCCGCGCCGCAUUAGCUAGUUGGUAAGGUAACGGCUUACCAAGGCAACGAUGCGUAGCCGACCUGAGAGGGUGAUCGGCCACACUGGAACUGAGACACGGUCCAGACUCCUACGGGAGGCAGCAGUAGGGAAUCUUCCGCAAUGGGCGAAAGCCUGACGGAGCAACGCCGCGUGAGUGAUGAAGGUCUUCGGAUCGUAAAACUCUGUUAUUAGGGAAGAACAAAUGUGUAAGUAACUAUGCACGUCUUGACGGUACCUAAUCAGAAAGCCACGGCUAACUACGUG